rnacentral:rRNA from 1 species
AUUGAACGCUGGCGGCAGGCCUAACACAUGCAAGUCGAACGGUAACAGGAAGAAGCUUGCUUCUUUGCUGACGAGUGGCGGACGGGUGAGUAAUGUCUGGGAAACUGCCUGAUGGAGGGGGAUAACUACUGGAAACGGUAGCUAAUACCGCAUAACGUCGCAAGACCAAAGAGGGGGACCUUCGGGCCUCUUGCCAUCGGAUGUGCCCAGAUGGGAUUAGCUAGUAGGUGGGGUAACGGCUCACCUAGGCGACGAUCCCUAGCUGGUCUGAGAGGAUGACCAGCCACACUGGAACUGAGACACGGUCCAGACUCCUACGGGAGGCAGCAGUGGGGAAUAUUGCACAAUGGGCGCAAGCCUGACGCAGCCAUGCCGCGUGUAUGAAGAAGGCCUUCGGGUUGUAAAGUACUUUCAGCGGGGAGGAAGGGAGUAAAGUUAAUACCUUUGCUCAUUGACGUUACCCGCAGAAGAAGCACCGGCUAACUCCGUG